ACUAAAUACAUCAGUCGUAGUUUAUACAUUUAAUGAAAAUUACUAUUCAGAAUUUUGAUUUUAUUCUUCCAACAUUCUACAACAAAAUCAAACGCUUCCAUUAUUUCAAACGAUGCCUACUUCAGGUGCAGAUCUGGUAUUAAAAAUACUCAACAUCCCAUGGAGUUCUCCUUGCAAUAAAUGGUAUUGCUUCCUUUAUUUGGGAAUAUCGGGGGAACUACUAAGAGAAGGACCAUUCGACAGGAAUGCAGACCUUCGUUUUACGAUCCAUUUGAAGAAAAAAAUUCUACUUAAAUGGGCUGUUUUAGCUUCAACUGGCAUGAGUUACAUCUGAACUCGACGAUCGAGAGGAAAAUCGAAGGAAGGUGGAAAUAAAAAUUUAGUUGCUUUCCCUAAUUAUAGAAAGCGGUAUGGCAAGGUCCAAACAUUUAUUGGGCCGUCUUUCUGAAAGUGAUUAUUGCACCUUAAUCAAGGCCUUCUGUUUAAUCGUGUAAAUUAUGAGAAUAUUAAACAGCACUUCAAAAAAUAACUGAAAUUGUUGAAUAGCCAAAAAACGAAAUAAUCAAAGAAGAAACAUCAAGA